rnacentral:tRNA from 1 species
CGGGGCGUAGCGCAGUUGGCUUAGCGCGCCACGUUCGGGACGUGGAGGCCGUCGGUUCAAAUCCGACCGCCCCGACCA